CAAGAUGACCUUCUAGCCCACCUUCAAGCCUUGGAGCAAAAAAUGAAUAUAGAUUUCCAACAUAAAUUACAAAAACAUCUCCAACAACAAAGAACAGAGCUCCAACAACAAAUGCAAAAAGAGAUGCAAGAGGAGAGAGCUCAAAUCCAACAAGGAAUGAAACUCCUACAACAGAUGCAAUUGGAGCUCCGCUCCGAGAGGCCUAAAGAGAUGUUUAUAAAAGAGCAUGUAGAAUCUGUGGGUACGAGCACUAACGGAAGUUGCUCAAAGGUUAUGACUACUGAAGAUUUAACUAAAAAAAUGGAUGCUUCUGAAGAUUACCUCAAAAAGAUUAACAAUCUCAAAAAUUUAGAUAUCUACAUCGCAUGUGUAUCUCCAAGAAUUUCAACAAACUAUUUGGGUUUCUCGAUCCAAAUAGGAUACUAGUUCACACAAAACCGGCCGAAGUUAUUCAAACAUACAUACAAAAUAAGUUGGAUGGAGAGCCAAAAAAAUGUUAUUUAGGACCAUUGCUAAAUAGCAAUCACUGGCAAUUGUUUGUCAUUUGUCCUGAAGAUAAUAUUAUUUUUUGGUUUUGUUCAUUAAACAGAUCUCCUAAGAAAAAUAUUAAGGUCAUAUUGGAG